rnacentral:rRNA from 1 species
AUACGGAGGGUGCAAGCGUUAAUCGGAAUUACUGGGCGUAAAGCGUACGUAGGCGGUUGGUUAAGUUAGAUGUGAAAGCCCCGGGCUUAACCUGGGAACUGCAUUUAAAACUGGCGAACUAGAGUUCAGUAGAGGGGAGUGGAAUUUCAGGUGUAGCGGUGAAAUGCGUAGAGAUCUGAAGGAACACCAGUGGCGAAGGCGACUCCCUGGACUCGAACUGACGCUGAGGUACGAAAGCGUGGGUAGCAAACGGGAUUAGAAACCCUAGUAGUCC